rfam:Schistosoma haematobium scaffold860_9, whole genome shotgun sequence.
AACCAAUUGAGGAGUCCCACAAUAGGACGAAACGGCCGUCCAGUGC